rnacentral:rRNA from 1 species
UACGUAGGGUGCAAGCGUUGUCCGGAAUUAUUGGGCGUAAAGAGCUCGUAGUCGGUUCGUCGCGUCGGCUGUGAAAACCCGGAGCUCAACUCCGGGCCUGCAGUCGAUACGGGCGGACUUGAGUGUUGCAGGGGAGACUGGAAUUCCUGGUGUAGCGGUGAAAUGCGCAGAUAUCAGGAGGAACACCGGUGGCGAAGGCGGGUCUCUGGGCAACUACUGACGCUGAGGAGCGAAAGCGUGGGGAGCGAACAGG